UGCAUCGGCCGGGAAUCGAACCCGGGGCGCCCGCGAACCCUGCCGGCGAGCAUUCUACCACUGAACCAAAAGC